GGAGGCCUCCAUCUCAAAACAACGUGUUUUUAGAGAACUCAAGGGCUGUGAAAAGAGCAGGACCUCACCAGCUGCACGGCGGUGGUGACUGGCUCCAUCUUGCUGUCCCUCCCAAUCACACAACAUCUCCCCUUGAAGGCUCUGCCCAGGCCCGGACUCCCACCUUUCAAGAUGUCUGGAUCAGUGCAGGACCUCCUCCUUGGCCACAUCGCUCUCCUUGGACUGGUUCAAGUGAUUCUCCCACCUCAGCCUCCCAAGUAGGAUUACAGUGUUGACUCACCUGUGGAGUGGUCUGAGCCUGAAUGCCCGGGGCUGUGGCCACCGAGUGAACGGGCUGUGCUAAGGGGAAUUGCCACCUUGGGAAACCUGUGUAGUUGCGGCUUUUCUGAUUAAGUAUCAAUAAAAGUCUGACCUUGUGAAAAAAGCAAACGUGAGUGGCCCUGCUUAUGUUUCACCUUGCGUUGCUCAGUGAUAGUUCUGCAAAGUCGCAGGAAACCUGGAAUCAUCUAAUUAUCGUGAGUGUUGGUUCCUUAUUUAAUAAUGUCUAGUUGAUUCAUUAACAUGGAAUUCAUGGCCAGUACCUCUGUCACUCAUGCCUGACUGAAGUUGAUCAGCACGUCUUUUUCUCCCUUAGGCACAUGACAGCCUUCUUGCAAUCAAGAAACUACGUGUGG
rnacentral:lncRNA from 10 species